UUGACAGCCGUUGAAGAUGCACCAGAUGUUGAGAGGCCUGAAUGGAAACGCCAGGAUGCUUUAUUUGCUCGCACUCAACA